AACGAACGCUGGCGGCAUGCCUAACACAUGCAAGUCGAACGAGACCUUCGGGUCUAGUGGCGCACGGGUGCGUAACGCGUGGGAACCUGCCCUUAGAUUCGGAAUAACUCCCCGAAAGGGGUGCUAAUACCGGAUAAUGUCUUCGGACCAAAGAUUUAUCGCCUCUGGAUGGGCCCGCGUUGGAUUAGCUAGUUGGUAGGGUAAAAGCCUACCAAGGCGACGAUCCAUAGCUGGUCUGAGAGGAUGAUCAGCCACACUGGGACUGAGACACGGCCCAGACUCCUACGGGAGGCAGCAGUGGGGAAUAUUGGACAAUGGGCGAAAGCCUGAUCCAGCAAUGCCGCGUGAGUGAUGAAGGCCUUAGGGUUGUAAAGCUCUUUUACCCGGGAUGAUAAUGACAGUACCGGGAGAAUAAGCUCCGGCUAACUCCGUG
rnacentral:rRNA from 1 species